UGAGUUUAAGAUGUGAAUUUAUCACUAACUUUGUUGCAGUCUGGUUGUGUUGAGAAGGGCCUUGGGCCCGGCAACGUGUUGGGAUCGAUAACUGUGUGUGGUUGUGGGAAUUGGGACAUGGGCCGGAUGGAGAAUGGGAUUACGCGUGUAGCUUGGUUUCUGAAACUAUGUAUAUUGUGAUUGUUGUGAUGUUGUAUAUUGUCUGAUGUGUGUUAUCCCAUGUCAUCCAAUAUACUAUCUAUCAUGCAUCCUCAUCUUUACCGUAAUUACAAUUUGUUCUGAUUAUUUAACUUUGUUGUGUUAUGCCAUAUUAUGUGAAUUUAAAACUGGGUUUUUGUGUACUGGGAUAUCAUGUGGGUGUGUGCGUAUCACGACCCCAAGCCGAGAUGGUGCAUUAUCUCGGUGGAGUUCCUCUGGUCACUCGAGAACGUAAUAAGCUAAGUGACAUCCCCUGGG